UUACAGGCCUCCAGCAUGCUUCACUGUGGGGUGACCCUGUACAUCUCUACUGUGCUAGUGAGAACGGUUUCGAAGUGGUUUGAGGCCUUGCUCUGCUCCAUCUAACAGAACAAGGUUAUAGAAAUGUCAGGCAGUU
rnacentral:snoRNA from 1 species